AUUGAACGCUGGCGGCAGGCCUAAGACAUGCAAGUCGAACGGUAACGACACUAGCUUGCUAGUGGUCGACGAGUGGCGGACGGGUGAGUAACGCGUAGGAAUCUACCUAGUAGUGGGGGAUAGCCAAGGGAAACUUUGGGUAAUACCGCAUACGAUCUAAGGAUGAAAGGGGGCCUCUCUUUGAAGCUCUCGCUAUUAGAUGAGCCUGCGUAAGAUUAGCUUGUUGGUGGGGUAAUGGCCCACCAAGGCGACGAUCUUUAGCUGGUCUGAGAGGAUGAUCAGUCACACUGGAACUGAGACACGGUCCAGACUCCUACGGGAGGCAGCAGUCGGGAAUAUUGGACAAUGGGGGAAACCCUGAUCCAGCCAUGCCGCGUGUGUGAAGAAGGCCCUAGGGUUGUAAAGCACUUUUAGUAGUGAGGAAGGCUCAGUAGUUAAUACCUACUGGGAUUGACGUUAGCUACAGAAAAAGCACCGGCUAAUUUCG
rnacentral:rRNA from 1 species